AAGUCGUAACAAGGUUUCCGUAGGUGAACCUGCGGAAGGAUCAUUACAGAUAUACAUUAUAUCUUCCAACCCCCCCUUCAUUGUGAACUUUUGGUGUAAGCUAAGCCAAGCUAGUGCCCCUAUCUAAUAGGGGUAUUGCCCCUAUUCAAUAGGGGUUUUGGCCUUACAAACCAAUUUUUUUCAUAUACACAAUCUCUAUAUGUAUUAUGUAUGAACUAUGAAAUAUAAAAUAACUUUCAGCAACGGAUCUCUUGGCUCUC
rnacentral:misc_RNA from 1 species